rnacentral:rRNA from 1 species
GAUGAACGCUGGCGGCGUGCCUAAUACAUGCAAGUCGAGCGAACAGACGAGGAGCUUGCUCCUCUGACGUUAGCGGCGGACGGGUGAGUAACACGUGGAUAACCUACCUAUAAGACUGGGAUAACUUCGGGAAACCGGAGCUAAUACCGGAUAAUAUAUUUAACCGCAUGGUUCAAUAGUGAAAGACGGUUUUGCUGUCACUUAUAGAUGGAUCCGCGCCGCAUUAGCUAGUUGGUAAGGUAACGGCUUACCAAGGCGACGAUGCGUAGCCGACCUGAGAGGGUGAUCGGCCACACUGGAAAUGAGACACGGUCCAGACGCCUAAGGGAGGCAGCAGUAGGGAAUCUUCCGCAAUGGGCGAAAGCUUGACGGAGCAACGCCGCGUGAGUGAUGAAGGUCUUCGGAUCGUAAAACUCUGUUAUUAGGGAAGAACAAAUGUGUAAGUAACUAUGCACGUCUUGACGGUACCUAAUCAGAAAGCCACGGCUAACUACGUG